UCCUCUGUAGAAAGGCCUUGCUGCAGGGUGCUUUUGGGCCUGUCCCCUAUGAGGGGGUAAGCAGUAGGGGGUAAGAGACUCCUUGAACAGGCUAACCCCUACGCAUCUGCCCUUGGGGCAGGCUGGAGUUGAGGCUCCAGCGUAGAGGAAGGCACUCUAGGGCUGGCCUGGGGAGGCAAUGCUGUGAAGCAUGGGAGAGCAGUCUGCUGAGCCCCAGAGGGGUGGAGUCUGUGGAGCAGCAAGCAGUGAAAGGAGCUGUGGGAAAGGCCUAGGACCAAGCUAAGAGACAGGGCCCAGGUUGAGGGGCAAGAGCCAGUUCCAACCAAGCAGGCUGGAGUGCAGGAAAGAAGGUGGCUGGUGGAAGAGCCACAGGCAGUUUUUCCUUUUGAAAGGCAACAAGAAUGCUGAGCAGACAAGGCCCUUGAACUGAGGAGAUUGGUCCCAGGCUGGGAAAGAAAUUCAG